CACUGCCCGUCAAGCCAUGGAAGCUGUUUCUACCUGAAUAGAGUGAGCUAACCGCAAGGAGGCAGCUUUACACGGUAGGAGGAGUGACGUGGGGUU
rnacentral:rRNA from 1 species